GGGGCUGCUCGUCUCGUUAGCUAUUAGAAGUUGCGCCUCAGUAGUCAGUACUCCUGAGUCCCUCUCUGCUCUCUCUCCCUCGCGAAGUCCCUCCAAUCCAAAAUGUCUCUGGUGGCGAAUGAGGACUUUCAGCACAUUUUGCGUGUGCUUAACACUAAUGUUGAUGGGAAGCAGAAGAUAAUGUUUGCUUUGACCUCAAUCAAAGGAAUUGGGAGGCGUUUCGCCAACAUUGUCUGCAAGAAGGCUGAUGUUGACAUGAACAAGAGGUCUGCUACUUCCGUACUCUGUUUUCAUGAUUAUGUUUGCUGCUAGUGCUAAGAAGAAUGUCAUUAAAUCAAAUGGAUUAGCAAACAUGGUUUUCUUAACUUUUUUAUUGUUAACUUAGCUGAACUAGUUUGUUAUCCAUCAUUAAGUGGGGAUGGUUGUCCAAAAGUUACAAAGUUUUAGUUCUUUUACCCAUUAUUUUACUUUUAAAAAUGGCUCUGUGUUAGCCGCGGGUAUAAUUUUUUGUUUCAUGGGGGAAGCAGAAUUGGAGUUCUGCUGGUAAUUUAAUGGUCUUACCACCAAGGCUGAUAUCUUUGUAGAAUCCAUUCUCAGAUGUAUUAUCGUCAUUCAUCAAGAAAGACAUCCCAUCACUCAUGUCCUUGUUCUCCUAUCAAUUAAGUUAAAAAAAUUUUGAUUGAUAUGAUGUAUUACUGCUUGGGUUUUUGUGCUGUAAUUUGUCUGGCUCCAGAUCUGGUUGACUUUUGAUGACUAUAACUAGUUUUGAUUCUUUAAACAAGCAGUUUUUGUUAAGUUACUGGUGAAUUAACUGCUGCUGAGCUGGAUAAUCUUAUGGUCAUUGUUGCAAAUCCUCGUCAAUUCAAGAUCCCAGACUGGUUUUUGAACAGGCAGAAGGAUAACAAGGAUGGGAAAUUUUCUCAAGUUGUGUCUAAUGCACUGGACAUGAAGUUGAGAGAUGAUUUAGAGCGACUAAAGAAGAUCAGGAAUCACCGGGGUCUGAGGCACUACUGGGGUCUUCGUGUCAGGGGACAACACACCAAGACCACUGGUCGUCGUGGAAAGACUGUUGGUGUCUCUAAGAAGCGGUGAGAAUCUGUUGAUUGGGUUGAAUUAAUAUAUGGGUUGGGAGAGUUGGUUCCUUGCCACAGGCUUUUGCACUAGGAAAGUCCAGAUGUUUUUUGCUCUAGGAAAGUCCAGAUAUUUUUUUGUUAGAUAGGAAGGAUUUUGAUCCCAUUAAGCAUUUAUCUGUGGAAGUGAGUUGCAGAAUCAUAUAUUAUUAUAUGCUGAAAGGGUAUUUUUAUAAUAAAAAUUAUGAAGACUUAAUUACAUAAUUAUAUUGGAGAUAUUGUUAAAUUAUUUUUUAAUUACAUUUAUUAAAAUAUGUUUUUG
rnacentral:misc_RNA from 1 species